UAUCGGGCAAGGAAAUAUUUAUAGCUGUAAGAUAGGCAUGCGUCCCAUUAGCUGGUUGGUGAGGUAACGGCUCACCAAGGCAACGAUGGGUAGGGGAACUGAGAGGUUUAUCCCCCACACUGGUACUGAGACACGGACCAGACUCCUACGGGAGGCAGCAGUGAGGAAUAUUGGUCAAUGGGCGAGAGCCUGAACCAGCCAAGUCGCGUGAAGGAUGACUGUCCUAAGGAUUGUAAACUUCUUUUAUACGGGAAUAACGGGCGAUACGCGUAUUGCUGUGAAUGUACCG
rnacentral:rRNA from 1 species